rnacentral:piRNA from 1 species
UAACCUCAGAGAUAUACAAGUGUCAUACAG